AUUGAACGCUGGCGGCAGGCCUAACACAUGCAAGUCGAACGAGUGGCGGACGGGUGAGUAAUGUCUGGGAAACUGCCUGAUGGAGGGGGAUAACUACUGGAAACGGUAGCUAAUACCGCAUACCAUCAGAUGUGCCCAGAUGGGAUUAGCUAGUGGGUGUGGUAACGGCUCACCUAGGCGACGAUCCCUAGCUGGUCUGAGAGGAUGACCAGCCAAACUGGAACUGAGACACGGUCCAGACUCCUACGGGAGGCAGAAGUGGGGAAUAUUGCACAAGGGGCGCAAGCCUGAUGCAGACAUGACGCGUGGAUGAAGAAGGCCUUAGGGUUGUAAAGUACUUUCAGCGGGGAGGCGGUACGCGAAGAAGAAGCACCGGCUAACUCCGUGCCAGCCGCCGCGGUAAUAG
rnacentral:rRNA from 1 species